GUGCUCGCUACGGCAGCACAUAUACUAAAAUUGGAACGAUACAGAGAAGAGUAGUAGCAGGGCCCCUGCGCAAGGAUGACACGCAAAAUCGUGACGCGUUCCAUAUUUUU
rnacentral:snRNA from 1 species